GACACAACCCCCAAUAACCAACUUAAUAGACAUUAACCUAUCAUUCACUCGCCUAACCUCGACCACGGACUCCGUUAGAUCCCUAUCUACCUAGAUGCCCACUCCAUUCUUACCUCUCACGACCCCAGAAUACCACUGCUUAAACCCGUCAACAUUCCUUGCCUUCGACCCUUUCCACCUAGUCUCCUGGACACAUGCUAUG
rnacentral:lncRNA from 1 species